AUAAAACAGUGAAGUCUUUAACUGCUCCAGAAGAAGAGGAUCCGGAAGGAAAAUGUCUCUGGCAAAGAAGUAUCAGGCACAUGAUACUGCAGAGAUUCAAAAUCAGAAGUAAAUCAACUGGACAGUUGCCUCCUGCCUUCCUAAAUAGGCAAGCAUAUUAGCAACAGAAGAAGGGGCCUACCUACCUCAUUCCUAGAGAAGGUGGGUUUGCUGCUGUGGAUGCCUGCCUCGUUUGCUUCACCAAAAUGAUUUAGGGCAUGCAGGAGAGAAGGGAGACUUUUGUAAGCAGAGCCUAUCAUGAUUUCUCAGGGGACAAAAUUUUGCUUAUUCAUACCUUUUACUGUGGCAAAAAUGGAUUCUUUUCCUCACCAAAACCCAGCAGCAUAACACCCAUCCAACACCUGCCUCAAGGAACUCUUAUUUAAAGUCCAUUGUAAG
rnacentral:lncRNA from 1 species